CCUACGGGAGGCAGCAGUAGGGAAUCUUCGGCAAUGGACGAAAGUCUGACCGAGCAACGCCGCGUGAGUGAAGAAUGUUUUCGGAUCGUAAAACUCUGUUGGUAGAGAAGAACGUUGGUGAGAGUGGAAAGCUCAUCAAGUGACGGUAACUACCCAGAAACGGACGGCUAACUACGUGCAAGCAGCCGCUGUCAUACGUAGGUACCGAGCGAUGACCAGACUAAUUGGGCGUAAAGCGGGCGCAGGUGGUUUAUUAAGUGUGGUGUAAAAGGCAGUGUCUCAACCAUUUUAUGCAUUGGAAACUGGUAGACUUGAGUGCAGGAGGGGAGAGUGGAAUUCCAUGUGUAGCGGUGAAAUGCGGAGAUAUAUGGAGGAACACCGGUGGCGAAAGCGGCUCUCUGGCCUGUAACUGACACUGAGGCUCGAAAGCGUGGGGAGCAAACAGGAUUAGAUACCCUGGUAGUC
rnacentral:rRNA from 1 species